rnacentral:lncRNA from 1 species
GCAGUGGCUUUUCAAGCCUUAACUCCAGUCUCUGGAACUUUUUGCCAGUAAGGCUAUGAUUUUUUUUUUUCUACCAGUAUUUCCCAUAGCCAUAGUCAUGAAGAAUGGGCAGGAUCCUCGAUCCCAAAAACCAGUAAGUCAUAAUUUUUACUCCUUUCAUUUGCAGGUCUUUUUUUCUCUUCUAUGAUUUCUGUAUGCUUUUGAAUGCCUUCCAAUGCAAUAGUUUAAUAAAAUUCAAAUACUUGUUUUUACAAAUUUAACUAUAUUUUACUAUUGUUAUAUGCAGGGCAGCGUGAUACUGGCAUAAAGAUAGGCAUGCUAUGGUUUGAAUGUGUCUUCUCCAAAAUUCGUGUUGAAACUUAAUGGCUACUAUGAUGGUAUUAAGAGGUGACGCCUUUAAGAGGUGGUUGGGCUAUGAGGACAUCUCUUGAGGGAAUGGGAUUAGCUGCUCUUACAAAAGGGCUUGACAGAGGGAGUUUGGUCCCUUUCUUGUCAUCCUGACAUGUGAGGACAGGGCAAGAAGGCCUUCACCAGAGACCAGAUGAUGGCGCCUUGCUUUUGAACAUCCCCAACAUCCAAAACAUUGAGAAAUAAAUUUAUAUUCUUUAUAAAUUACCCAGAUGUAGUACUGUUAUAGUAGCACAAAACAAACUAAGACACUGAUCUAUAGAUCAAUGAAAGAGAGUAUUAUAGAGAGCAUCAUAUAUACACAUAUAGAGAUAUAGAUAUGUGUACACAUAUGCAGACAUUCAACAGAUUUUUGUCAAAAGUGUUAAGGUGAUUCAGGAGAACAGUCUUUUUAACAAGUGGUGCUGGAAAAACUAGAUAGCUGUAUGGAUAUAAAAAUGAACAUAGACCUUACACCACAAAACAAAAUAGAUAAUAGACUUAAAUGUACCUGUUAAAACUAUAAACCUCUGAGAUUAAAAGAGGAUUUUUCCUUGUGACAUCUUUUCUCCUCUAUCAUUACUGCAAGUACUCCUACAGCUUUGUUGUUGCUGUUGUUGUAUUGAACAACGUGUGAUUAUCUCUUUUAGUUAGUAGGCACAGAAAUUCUAUUGUUUUAUUUGUUUUAAAGAGACAGUCUCACUCUGUCACCCACGCUAACGUGGCCUAACAGUGAUGGACGGAGUGGGGAAACCCAACAAGGUUGCUUUGUACAAUUCCCCUUCCCCUGGGUAUGGGGCAGGACCCCUCGGGAAUGAGGGGUUUUCCAGGGAGAAGGGACAGAGUGACCUUGCUAGGUUUUAUGGCUAUGUUUGGGAGAGAGGAGUUCUAGUUUCUAUGACCUGCCUUGGGGAAAACAAAUUCUGGUUUCUGUGACUCACUUUGUGGGAGAAAAGGGCACAGGAACCAGGAGGGAAGGACAAAGGCUAGGCUUCUGAGAUCUUCCAGUCUCCUCUGGGUCAGAGUAGUCCACAUGCCAAAGGGGCCAUACUUUGGGGUUUAAUGAGCCCUGACAGCAGGUCCUUGCAGAUUUCACAGGCAACCUGUGAUCUAAGUAAUUGGCUUUCAGUCCCCCAAUUUCAGAGGACUUUAGCAAAGCCUGGUUGAAAUGGCCAAGUGUUAGAAGAAUCUCUUCAAAGUUGAAAUUCAUCAAGUUCUUCAGCUGAGGGUGGAAGAAUCCCAGAUGUAAGGUUAGCAAGAGUUAGGACUUCUGGAGUCUUCCCCGCAUGCCCUGGCUCUUGAGUAUCAACAGGCCAGAAGCUCACAGUAUCUGAUCCUCCUGUGGCUCAGCAGGGAUGCUUUAGAGCAGCAUGUUUGGAAUGAAACUGGCACACUUAAUCAAGCCUCAAGGGCCGUUUGAAGUCAUGUGUGGCCCACACUGGCCUCAUGGGAACACAGGUGCUCCAUGACCCAAUAGGUUCAGGACUAGGUGGGGGGAAACUCCAACCCUGAAAACAUCCCCCUGCUGUCUAGACCAGCCUGCCCCAUGGCCAAGGGCAGUGAGAACCCCGGCCACCCCUUGGGUUGCACCCCUGCCAGUGCUAGAAUUUUGCCCAUCCUGGGCAGAAAAGCUCCGCAUUUGGCUAAGGACAUAACUGGAAAGAAAUGCCCACGUUUUUCACUGUGGGGCAUGAAAAUACAGGGAGGCCGGAGCCUGAUGUGUCUGCGGCCACCCAGCUGGAGGCGGAUGGGCUGCGCUUCUCAAAUUGCUUUGAGGAACGUUCUUUUAGUGGGGAGGGAGUGCCUUUCCUGAAGAAGUCCUUGGGAUGGACAUGCUGAUCCUGAAUGAGUCUUAAGAAGUACAGGUUUCCCAAGACCCGGAGAAGACAGCAAGCCUGUGUUCCCAGCCAGCGCUAGUGGCAGCUGGGUUCCGGGCAGGUGGAGCCGACGUGGUCUGGAGCCCGCAGCCACACUCUGGCACCUCCUCAGGCGGUUUUCAAGGGUGGGUUCCAGCCAGGCAAGUCCUACGCACUCCUGCCUAGGUGGCAUGGCCACGGGAAGGACAGCCUCAGGAGGUAGAUGGACAAGGACCCUCCUUGCCUGCUCCCUACAGGCUGUGUGCUGCAGGCCACUUUCAAUGACCUACGUUCCCAAAACCAUCAGGUCCCAACUUUGCUGGCACACGGUGUCAACUGGGGUGUCCCGCGGGGUGGGUGAGGGGUGCCAGGGACUCCUCCGGCCUUGUCACCCAGACCCCCACCCCUGUCCUUAGGGUCCCUGCACUCAGCGGCUGUUCUGGGGCCAGGCACUCUGGACCCCACGUGGUGCACAUGCCGGAGCCCAAUUCACUCGAGUCUGCGGGAACUGAUGCUGCUGAAGACACCACUGUUCUCACAAACAUCUCUGCUUGUGGAUUCUUCUCAGUGCAAAUGUAGCACCUGCUAUGAUUUUUUUUUUUUCUUUUCUGCUUUAGAGAUGGGGGUCUUGCUCUGUUACAGCCCAGGCUGGAGUGCAGUGGCACAAUAACGGCUCACUUGACUGCUCGGGUUUGAGCCAUCCUCCCAUUUCAGCCUCCUGAGUAGCUGGGUCCACAGGCACGGCGCCACCACGGCUGGCCUGAAUUUUCUUUAAUGGUUUGGAGUUCCCAUCAAACUAAACGCUAAUCAAAGGAUAGCAUUAUAGAGUAUGUGAAAUUAUAACAUUAAUACAUGUGAGAUAGGGCUGGCUGCUGUGAGAAAAUCUGGCCAGUCUGGGAAGCAUUAAUAGGACUCACCUUGUUUUCCUUUCUCAGGUACUUCUCCACAGCCUUACAUUCAAUGUACUGAAAAAUGCUGCUUGAUACAUUUUGUCUAGUUUGUUACAGGUUGAAGGGUAAAUCUUGGCCUGAAGCAGAAGUCCUCUGCUCUUUUUUUCUCUGAAUUACGUUUGAUCUGCCAGUAUUUUCCUGUAUUCUUGAAAGUUUAAUUGACUUAAUUUUCUCUAAUGUAGGCUUUCAAAGUUACACAACUCCAAGCACUGCUUUAGCUCAAUCUCACAGGUGUUGACAAAUUGUAUUUUCUUUUUUCUUUCUUUUUUUAUUUUUUGAGGCAGAGUCUCGCUCUGUCACAGAGGCUGGAGUGCAAUGGUGCGACCUCGGCUCACUGAAAUCUCCGCCUCCCGGGUUCAAGGGAUUCUCUUGCCUCAGCCUCCCGAGCAGCUGGGACUACAGCGCGUGCCACCACGCCUGGCUUUUUUGUGUUUUUAGUAGAGACGGGGUUUCACCGUGUUAGCCACGAUGGUCUUCAUCUCCUGACCUCGUGAUCCAUCCGCCUCGCCUCUCAAAGUGCUGGGAUUACAGGCGUGAGCCACAGCACCCGGCCUGAUAAAUUGUAUUUUCAUUCAAAAAAAAAUCCCACUAUUUGCUGACCCAUGGGGAUGUUUAAUUCCAAACUUUUACUUUCCCCAUUCUCUUAUUUCCAAACUGAAAAUACAUAUUACAAAUACACAAUUGGCUUUGUCAAUUUAUCUUAACCCUGUCUGAUACUCUGGAUUAAUUGGUGUAUAAUCCACCUCUAGGUACGAGAGUUUAACUGGCUUGCUGUUUUGUCAUUCUUUACCUCUUAAAAAACUAAUUUGUAUUAAUCAUUUUCAUUACUCCCUUUUUCCCCACUACUUGUUAUACCUUUAUUAUUCUUAGUGGUUAUGGAGAUUAAAAUAUGGUUCCAUGAUUUAUUAGAGUCUACUUAAAUAGUACUUUUACCAUUUACUGAGGAAUGAAUCUCACAACAGCUCAAAUUACCUACUUCCACUUUUGAAUUUCCACAUUUUAAACUUCUUAAAACACUAUUGGUCUGUCAUGUAGUUACCCUAAAAUUUAGUGUUUUGAUCAUAUAAAUUUGUAAUAACUUUAAUUUGCUUAAGUAAGACUUCUUACUAUUCCCUUCCCAUCCAGUAGGGUUCUUUCUGAUCUAUUCUCCAAGCAGUGGCCAAUUUGUAUUAAAACUAGGUCACUUCAAACUGUUUACUAUUUUCCAACUGUUCUUCGCAUACCAUGUAAAUUCCCUUCUAUGGCUUACAAGGUUUGUAUGACAGGUCCUCUAACUCUACAACUCUGUCUUAGACCAUUUUUUUCCCAAGCCAUUUACUGGCUUCUCAUCAUAUCCAGGAGCAGACUUAGCCCCGCGGCACUGAACUCUUAAAAAUUCAGUUACCAAGUACAAUUUGCCUGACCCCAAGGUCUUAUACUUACUGUCCUAAGAGUAGUUUUAUACACCAACCCCUUUUAUAUCCUUCACAGUAGCAAUCGGAAUUGUUCUCCUUGCUUCAAUCAAGGUAUCUCACGUUAGUUCACUACCUAGCAUGCAGUAACGUAAUUCAUUAGUAUGUUUAAAUGUUCAUACUGUGAAUACUCUAAUUUUUCAGAUACUCUCAAAUUACCCUCUAAAAGGCCCGUGCUAACUUAUCCUCUAAUUAAAAAAAUUAAGGAUUUUACAAAAAUAGAUCAUACUGAUUCAAAUAGCCCCAGCAAAUAUAAUCAAAAGGGCACUAAGCAAUGAUACCAGAAUGCAGUGGUGCUUAAAAUGCAGGUUCAAUGUUUAAUAUUGUGUUAAAUAUGUCUUUGGAGUCCUUGAAUAAGACUUUCUUUUGCAUCUACAUUAACAGAUGAAUAGUCUCCAAAUGUAGAGAAAACAUAGUGUAGGUUUGCUAAUUUCCAAUGGCUUCACCAAAAUUACAGGUUAAACAUUUUGUGUCUCUCUUAUCAGUCAUCAGUGCUUCAAAAUGUAGUUUUUCACGGUCAGGUACCUGCCUUAGACUUUAUGAUACGCAAUACUUUAUGGGAGGCCUGAAUUUAAACACAUUUUCAUUAUCACUAAUAUGAGGAAAAAACACAAAACAUUAUUUUUAUUAUUCUUUCUUCCUUCUUAGCACUCUUCUAUCCUAAGAUUUUAGUGCCACAGGUACUAUGGGUGCAGCCUGAGAAUACUGAGGUAGUUUCUUCUGGUAGAAUUAACUACAUUCUCCUUAACCUUUCCCUUUUUGUGAUUCUAAGGAAUCAAUAAUAAGGAACAGGAGACAUAAUUGUGAGUGUGAUAUAGGGCAACACAAUCUUGUGUCACAGUUGCUGAUACCACAUUAAAAUUCUUAGGCUCUAAUACAUUAUUCAAAUUAUAAGAAUACAGAUAACUUGUUUUCCCUGAUCAGAAUUUUGAUACAUGGAAAUAAUUGCUGAAAAAGCAACAUUUUUGACAGGUUCACAGUCAACAGCUAGAUUAGAGGUAACAGUGUCACUAAGAGUUAAUACGAGGAUAGACCAUAAUUAACUGGAUUUGCUUCAUCCAAACUGAACACUUCCAUUUUAGUUUUGACUUUUAGGUGUUUUCACAGAAAUAGCUCAUUUACAGUUAGUGUUAUGUAUAUAAGCCAAAAUAAAUGUCCAAACAAUUUAUCAGUAAAAAUCUACUGGUCUAGUUAUCAAGCAAUAAUGUAUUUUAUAUUUUCUUGUUUGAAAGCUUUUUAACUAUACUUAUAAAAUUCGGUUCUACCUAGUACAUGAUAUGCCUGUUCGUAGUAUUUUAACCUAACAAAGCAUUUUGAACUCUAUCAUCUGCUCCUCCAAGUUAGGUAAAUUACUUUUUGAUUUGUUGCUUAUUUUGCCAAUGAUGCACCCCAAUGCACUUACUUCAGGAUCAUACAUUUAUAGGGAACUCAAUUUACCAAUCCAUAGUGAAGUCCCUUAGGUUAAUAUUUUUGCAGAGGAUCACACAGCAUGUUAGGAAGAAAGCCAAUAGUUGACCCCAAGUCUUACUUCCAGCAUAGUAAUUUUUUGUGCUUCUGUCCUUGGUGAUAUACAAAUAAUCUAAUUUCAAAAUGUAUGCCAGUGAGGCUGCUCUUUCUCAACCUAUCUUAGUUGUGUGUAAUAAAAUAUAAGUUGGCAUACUUUAAGUAGAAAAUUGAGGACAAUAAGGUUUAUUUACAUGUUCUACCCUCUCCUGAAGGAUGGCUGGACAGAUAACUUCAAAGUUUUUUCAGCUUAUGAAGAAAUGGCCUCCUUGGACUUAAGAAACAGAAAAAAGCUGGGCAUGGUGGUUCAUGCCUAUAAUCCCCGCACUUUGGGAGGCUGGAGGAGGAUCACUUAAGGUUAGGAGUUUAAGACCAGCCUGGCCAACAUAGUGAGACCUGUCUCUAAAAUAAAUAUUUAAAAAGAAAAAAGAAAAGUUUCUCCUACAAUGGUCUUACAAAGCUUUAAUUUCAGAAUAAAAACUCCUUUCACAAUCAAAGAAUGCUUUCCAGCGAAGAACAUUUAUUCUAUCAGUAAUGAGGAAAAAAUACAACUGAUCAAAACCUCUUUGAGAAAGGUAACAGAUAUUGACCCUCAUCAAACAUUUGAGUGCUUGCUAUAAUGACAAACACUAUGCUAAGGGAGAGGGAUACUGGGGAAGGAGAAACUUUUAGGAGUUUCACCCAAUUCCCAUUGAAAGGGAAGAGGCAUCAGGGAUGGCAUCCUAGUGUUCUGAAUUGAGUCAUGAAAGCUAAAUGAAAAAAGAAAUGGUAGUGGGGUAUGUGUAGGGUAUCCCAGGUAUAAGAAACUUGUACUAAGAUGAAAGCCUAUUAGUAGUUCAGCAUAGUUAACGUAGCUAGUGUAUAGGUUCUGUGCACCUAAGUAGGUUAGAAUUGGGAGGUGGGGGUAGUGUGAGUCCUGGAAAAAACCCCUGAACUUUUUACUAUAUGCAUAAGGAUUGUAGUUGAAUUCUGAAAGCCAUGAAAAGGCACUGAAAGGGUUUAAACAAAGAAAUAACAUGAAAUGAAAUGCUCGUUAGUUAAGAGCAUUCUAGCAUCAGUGAUGAAGUGAUCAAUGCUUGGUGAAAAAAAUUCAUUUAGCAAAUAUUACUGAAAUCCUACUAAAUGCCAAAUGACCAUUUAGGAAGAAACUACAAUAUCCUAGCCCACAAAUCAAAGCAGUGGUAGUGUUCACAAAAAGGAAAUCUAAGAGGAUUAUCAAGUACUGAUAAUGAUGUUUAUCAAUAUGAAAUACAACAUGAGAUACAGGUUUGGUGAAUAGAGGAUUUAGGAAGAAUUUAAAUACAGUAAAAUUGGCUGUCUGACAUGUGAAGGGAGAUACAGGCCAGGCGUAGUGGCUCACACCUAUAAUCCUAGCACUUUGGGAGGCCAAGACAGGAAGACUGCUUGAGUCCAGGAAUUCGAGACCAGCCUGUGCAACACCGCAAGACUCAUCGUGACAAAAAGAAAAAAAAUAAAGGGAGAUACACAGGAGGCAGCUAGAUACAUGGAUCUGGUGCUCUAGAAAGAGUAAGUGGGAAAUAGGCAUCUGAGAAUAUAUACACACACAUGGAGAAGGGAUAAAAACUGCCAAUAUUUGCUGCAUACAUAUAUGCUACAUUAUUUAUAAUAAUUCCCACAAGGUAGAAACGGUCAUUUUCAUUUUAUAGGUGUUAACAACUUAGGCAUAAAGAAUGUCUCGAGUCACUCAGUUACCAUUAACUAAAUUGAAGUCAGUGGAAGAACCAGAUAGUAACCAAAUAUCAGUCACAACUCUACCACUGCAUCACACCCAUUAAAGUAAACUUUAGUUCCUAUUACUUUUAGGUUGGAGGUACUUAGCCUUUGUGAUAACCUCACCAAUAACAGGUCACAGAUGUUUCAUUUUAGGGUAGGUGCAAAAUCCCACUGUUCUGUGUUCAACACUUAGCUAUUCAAAUUAUCAAUAUUCUGUAGUCAGUAUUCACUGUGGUCCAGUUUAAUUCCAACAGCAUUAUUACGAAGUUCCCUGUCCUUCUCCGAGGUUUCCCACAGCCAUGGUAUUUUUAGUUCCCUAAAAACGUCAAAUCUUCAGUGUUGCAAAGAGAAUAACCUUAGCUUGCCUUAUUCAUCUAUAAAUUUGUCCUUCAAGACUGCAAGUCAACUCAUUAAGAGUUUGCCUCUUUAUUCGGGCAAAACUGUUCCUAUUUUAUUGGAGGCUUUAUCUCUAACCUGAAGAACAGGCCCUCUAUAUUCAUGAGUUCUGUAUCCAGCAUCCAUGGAUUCAACAACUGCAAAUUAAAAAUAUUCAGGGGAAAAGAAAACCCUAUAAAGUCCCAAAGACAAUACUUGAAUUUGCCACAUGGUGUUAUGCUGAAUCUACGUGAAGUAAUGUAUGGCACUGUAUUAGGGUUACUCUAGAGAUGAUUUAAAGUAUAUGAGAGGAUAUACAUAGGUUACAUGCAAAUACCAUGCUGUUUUACAUAAGGAACGCGAGCACCCUUGAAAUUUUGUUAUCUGUGGGUGAUCCUGGAACCAAUUCCCCACAGACACUUAAGUACAACUGUAUUUUAUAAGAGCUUUUCUCGCACUAAAUUGAGGUUAAGGGGAGGAGUUGUCCUAUGCAUUUUUAGCUUCAAAUUUAGGUAUUUUUCUUUGAAAAAAAUUGUGUAGCUUUCCUCAAAAUCUUUUUAGAUACCUUUUAAUCUGCAUUGAAGUAUUUCAAAUUUACCAAGUUAAUGUUAACAUUUUUCUUAUCCCAGCACCUUUUAUUUUGCUAAACAAAUAUUUAAGAACUAUUACUACAUGUUUAUUAUUUAUAUCUGUGUGUAAUAUUACAACACCCUUAUUCAAGCAGCCAGGUAGUUCGAUGUGGCUGAGGGGAAAAAAAAAAACCAUUAAAUGUUUACUGCUCACUCUCAAUGACUACAAAUUUGGCUGUAAUGCAAUCUGGACCCAUCCCUCCUCAUACUGUAAUUAACUGUGGAGGCUCUCAUUUAAUAUUGAAGGCACCCCCCACCGCCUUGUCAUGGCUCUAGACCCCAUGUUUUCUCCUAUUUGAUACCUCUCCAAAAAUUCUUCCCUCCCUCUCUCCAUCUACUUUCCCCUCUAACAGAGAAUAAAGGCUUGUCAAAGGUCACAAAAGCCAAUAUGAAAAAUAAGUAACAAGUAUAAAAUAAAUAUAACUGAGUAUAUAUAUAAAAGAAAUGGAGACAAAUCUUUCUUAUAGAAAAAUUCCAAAUACUGUGUAGAUACCUAACCCCAAAAGGAUAUGGAACUUAAUUCCCCCGUCUUAUCAUGAUGAUGGACUACACUUAGUAUAACCUGAUUUGAAAGAGUAACAGUAGGUAAAAGGAGAAACAGUAACUGCAAUGGUGAAUCAGGGCAAACCCUACCUUAACCAAAUGACGAAUGUUAACAUUCCCAGUGAAGUCACAGGGUUAUGAUGUACCCUGCACAGGAAGUGACAAGAAAGACACUUUUCCUCUGUGUAGGAAGUGACAAGAAAGACACUUUUCCUCUGUGGUAUUCUCUGCAAAACCCCAUAAUCCCAGUCUAAUCGUGAGAAAAACCAGUCAAAUACAGAAUGCAGUGGUGGAUAUUCUAGAGGAUACCUGGCUAGUACUCUCUUAAGAUUGUCAAAAUCAUCAAAAAUGAGGAAAGAAUGAAAAACUGUCAUAGAGGAGAAGAGAGCAGGAAGGUAUUAGUAGUACAAGAUGGUACUCUAGAUUAUGGAAUAUCUUAAGGGGAAAAAUGAUAACAUUCUAGUAAAAUCUGUAAUGUAAUUAAUAGUAACAUACCAACGCUGGUUUUGGUUUUGAGAAAUAUACACACAUGGCAAUUUAAGAUGCUAAUGACUGUAGAAAAUUAGUGGGGAUAUAUGAGAACUGUCUGCACAAUCUUUGCAACUUUUCUUUAAAUCUAAAGUUAUCCAAAAUAGUGUUUGUCUAACCUCCCUGACUAUAAUUGGCUGAAAUUAUAUAUUCUCUACCAAAUUACCAGACUAAAAAAUAUCUGACUAUCGGGCUUAACAAUUUCACAUUUAUUUUCUCAAAAGAGUUUUGGCUUUUAUUACACAUAAUACUGAAAUUUCCCAUCAUGUUUGGGGGUGAAUCCCUACUUUGCUAUUCCUGUGGCUUCCUUGGGCAAGUUUUUAAUUUCCCCGUGCUUUAACCCUCCUUUUCGCAAAACACAAGAUAUGCAAGAGUAUAUACUCUCACAAGAUCAUAGGGAGAAUUAGAUAAUGCCUGCAAAUCUCUCUCUCUCUCUCACACACACACACACACACACACACACACACGAAACUGUCUUUUAGUUAAACCUGUCUACUCAAUUUCCCCAGAAAUAGAAAUACCAUUUCCAGGUCAGGAAAGCCAUGAGGGUAUUUCUAUUUAAAAAACAUUUAAACCUUAUGUCAAAAACAGGGGGCAAAGUGGAGAAAUUCCCUACCUUCUUACCAACAUCCACAACACUGGCUAUGUACACAAGAUAGCAAGAAGGGGAGAUGACAUGGUUUCAGAGAUCUAAUUUAGCUUGGUAAUUGUGCCUAGAGAUGAUCUUCUAUUUAGAUCUAGUUCUGAACUUGGACAUUUAUUACCAGAUAUCAUUCAAUAUUGUUUAGAUGAAAGGACUCCAAAUAGAAACUUAAGAAAACUUAGCUGUUAAGCUGACAGUUGAGUGCUUUAUAUAAGGUGACAGUUUAAGAGUAAUUCAGGAAGCACACUACGAUAUGGUAUUUUACCACAUGGAAUGAGGGAUGUAAUGUUCUGGCAAGAAGUGUGCAACUAAUUUAGGAGCUCUCUAUUUAAAACGAAAAAAAGGUUAAAUUAAAAAUUCUGAGGUUGCAGUGAUAAUGGCUUUGGAAUUUAAAAUACCAAGCACUCAUAUAUAAAAGGUAGGUGAAUAUAAAGAGUGUAAAAAAUUAACAAAUCAAAGGUAACAGAAAACUGUAAUUAGUUUAAAAAUGAACAUUAGAUCAGAGUUUAAAAAUCUCUAGUUUAUUUCUAACAAACACCACUUGAUGCUUGACUCACAGGCUUUAUUUACAUUUGUCUACAG